CAGUUGUAAUCAGUAUGGUAUGGUCCUUUUACCAUUAAUAUUUCUACUUCUUCAGCUCGCAAUGGCGUCUGAAGAGCAAUGUACUGCACACGAAACAAUCACUGUGAUUUUAAACAAUCAUCCUAAAAGGAAAACAAUGAUCAAAAC